CUUCUUGGGCUGAUCCCUUGAUCACUGUGUAGUGUCCUUCUUUGUCUCCUGUAACAGUCUCUAUUAUAAAGCCUGUUUCGUCUGACUGUUGCUACCCUGGCCUUCUGAUUUCCAUUCUCAUGGAAUACCUUUUUGCAACCCGCCUCGUUCAGUCUGCAUGUCUCUAGAUUGGAAGUGAGUCUCCUAUGGGUCUUUUUUUUUUUCAGUGUCCCUUCAGCCAAUGUGUUUUCUGGUUGGAGCAUUUAGUCGGUUCACACUUAAGGUAAUUGCUGGUAUGUGUUAGUGCCGUUUUGUCGACUGUUCUAGAUUUGCAUUUGUGGGUUUUCGUUCUCUGCUCCUUUCUACUUCAUUCUCU